UGAUUUUCUGAGAAACAAGCAGGCAAGGAUCAGCUAAUUUCUUGAGGCAACUAAUGGCUUUGUUAUUUGACAUUUCUGAAGGUCUUAUCACGUACUCAAUAUACAGAACACUUCCCAAUGGUGAGCAAUGAACUAAAAGCAAAAUGCAGAAGGGAGGUGAAACAUUACCCUGGGCUGAAGAACUUUGAAUGUGUCUGAACUGGUUUGCGUGGAUGAGGUAAAGAUAUCAUCAUUCUGAUUUCUGUCCUCCCUUUCUGGUCUCCAGGUGGACUUCCUGAGCCCUGAGAAGCCGUUUGAAUGAGGAUAAAGGCACAAACCCUUCACGUAUGAAGCACUUACUAUGGAGGUGAUGUUGUACUAACCUCCUAUGACUUCUUUACAACAAUCUAGAGGCAGACUCCUGUUCUGAGAAGAUAUCUUUCAAAAAAUUUCAAGGCAUUGGAUAUGAGGCAAUGAAGAAUGGUGAUCCCUGAGAGAUGGGAAGCAAACAAGUUUCUGAAUCAUGCAGCUUCAGCUACAGUAAACAAAGGAGGAUUCAAAUUGCAUGUCCCUAUUCACCUUUCCUGAAUCACAGUGAUGUUGGAGGUCAUUUCAGAAGUGUUGGUCCCAUGAGCAAUGGAAUGUGUCUACAACUGCCACCACACAACCCUCAGCUUCCUUAUGAAGAAAAUCAACAAAAAAUUGUUACUCAGAAAGCUGUUUUGAGUGGCUUCUUGAUCUUCAGCACUGUGCUGCAAAUGACCCUGGCAUGUAGGCCAUAUGACCCAGGAGUUAAGUGGUACCAAAGUUAUCUGUGAUGAUGCUGUGUGUGUUCUCUGGCAAGACCCAAUAGAGGUCACAGUGCAGACUACUGGGCUUCUGGAACAAAACUAUGUCUAUUUUGAGAAGCAAUUCCUGAUGUGCUGCUGAGCUGUAGAAAAGACUGAGCAUCUGAACAUGAAAUACCAUGUGACUCCUACUGGAGAAACCCAUUAUGAACCAGAUGUUGUCAAAUUCCACAAGUCGUAAGAUUGGGGAACGCAAGGAAAAUUCAACUCACGCCAAUCCCUCCU
rnacentral:lncRNA from 10 species